AAGAAUGUGGCUUUUGUUUCUAACUUUCUCAAUGUCAAAACACGUGGCCAUCCGUUAAUCAAUUUUUUCAAAUAAUUGAAAAUUUUCUAUACUUUCACAUUUUCAAUCCCCAUGGAAGUGUGUUGGUUGUAUGAAGAAGCAGCAUCCUCUUAUCAUCUCGCCAGCAGAGAGCAAUCUUGUUUUGCUUAAUCGAGUGAACUUCAUGUUUUCGGCUUCCAAUUAACUGUUGUGGUCGAGUAACAGUUUGAUAAUGUAACAAAGUUUGCUUGUAGUCAUCAAACGUGAGAGUAAAUAGUUCGAUGCUAAUAGGAAUCUGCAGAAGCUCAUCAAGACUAAGAUGUUUACUAACAAAGAUAAGAGAAACUCGAUGAAGGAUUGGAGUUUCGGUUCUGGGGAAGGUCUUCCUGAGGAACUCUAGCAUUAGAGAGGAUGAUAAACAUCAAAUUUGGGAGCACAAGGCGUUUUCCGAACAUCCUGAUUGGAGCUGGAAACAUGAUAACCGGAACUUAGUAUCCAAGAUGUCUUGUGAGAAAGCCUCCAAGAGGCUGCGGGUCCUAUUUGCUAGGGCAAAAAGAUUGGGCAUCUCCGUCGAAGAAGUGGCUGAUUUACCCACUGCUAAAAAAUUGACGACUGCUAGAGUUACUUCUUUCACGUGGACCAUUCUUGCUACAAUCGUUGUCAUUAUUCUCGGUGGAAGCCUGUUCUUUAUUUAUCUCUGCAGUCCUUGCACUGGUAGAAGGAUCGUCCAUGAUGUCAGAACGGAUCCUUAGAUUCGAAAGUUGGAGAAUUCCUCUUUUGGAAGGAAGUGUUCAAGUGAUGGGGACUAUCCUCAACGUUCAUAGCACAAUAAUGACUGAUGAAAUUUUGUGGAAAUUGUAUAAAAUAAGUGAAAAAAAACUUUACGAAGUGUGAUAAGUAUGUAUUAUUAAAUAAUUUUAAUAAAUACAUAUGAAGUACGAUAGUGUACGAUAGCAUUAUAAUUUUCAUUCUAAUAUGAAGCUUACAUAAUGUCUCUUAUUACUGACUUCAAAUACACAGUUUUAACAAUUAUAAAUUAACAAAAUAAACUUAUUGUCUUUAUUUAUUAUCGGCUUAAUGGUUUAAUAAGAAGGCAUGAUAACUUUUGGAAUUAAAAAUAAGAUUUCGUGUUUCGAAAUACCUAGAGAGUCUUUUUGGAUUAAUAAGUGUAAACUUCAUUUAAAAAAAUGAAAUUUUAAAAAAAUAUUAGUAAAAAGUAUUAAUUUAUUUUUAAUUUCAAAAGAAAGUAUG